UGGGGAAUUUUGGACAAUGGGGGAAACCCUGAUCCAGCCAUCCCGCGUGUGCGAUGAAGGCCUUCGGGUUGUAAAGCACUUUUGGCAGGAAAGAAACGUCGCGGGUUAAUACCCCGCGAAACUGACGGUACCUGCAGAAUAAGCACCGGCUAACUACGUGCCAGUAGCCGCGGUAAUACGUAGGGUGCAAGCGUUAAUCGGAAUUACUGGGCGUAAAGCGUGCGCAGGCGGUUCGGAAAGAAAGAUGUGAAAUCCCAGAGCUUAACUUUGGAACUGCAUUUUUAACUACCGGGCUAGAGUGUGUCAGAGGGAGGUGGAAUUCCGCGUGUAGCAGUGAAAUGCGUAGAUAUGCGGAGGAACACCGAUGGCGAAGGCAGCCUCCUGGGAUAACACUGACGCUCAUGCACGAAAGCGUGGGGAGCAAACAGGAUUAGAUACCCUGGUAGUCCACGCCCUAAACGAUGUCAACUAGCUGUUGGGGCCUUCGGGCCUUGGUAGCGCAGCUAACGCGUGAAGUUGACCGCCUGGGGAGUACGGUCGCAAGAUUAAAACUCAAAUGAAUUGAC
rnacentral:rRNA from 1 species